GUCUAGAGGCUUCGACAAUGCCCGAAAGGGUGAUCGAGCAAUGCCGCGUGCAGGAAGAAGGCCUUCGGGUUGUAAACUGCUUUUGUACGGAACGAAAAGGCUCUGGCUAAUACCUGGAGCUCAUGACGGUACCGUAAGAAUAAGCACCGGCUAACUACGUGCCAGCAGCCGCGGUAAUACGUAGGGUGCGAGCGUUAAUCGGAAUUACUGGGCGUAAAGCGUGCGCAGGCGGUGCUGUAAGACAGGCGUGAAAUCCCCGGGCUCAACCUGGGAAUUGCGCUUGUGACUGCAGCGCUGGAGUGCGGCAGAGGGGGAUGGAAUUCCGCGUGUAGCAGUGAAAUGCGUAGAUAUGCGGAGGAACACCGAUGGCGAAGGCAAUCCCCUGGGCCUGCACUGACGCUCAUGCACGAAAGCGUGGGGAGCAAACAGGAUUAGAAACCCGUGUAGUCC
rnacentral:rRNA from 1 species